rnacentral:rRNA from 1 species
UACAGAGGGGGCAAGCGUUGUUCGGAAUUACUGGGCGUAAAGGGCGCGUAGGCGGCCUGUUAAGUCGAACGUGAAAUCCCCGGGCUCAACCCGGGGAACUGCGUCCGAUACUGGCAGGCUUGAAUCCGGGAGAGGGAUGCGGAAUUCCAGGUGUAGCGGUGAAAUGCGUAGAUAUCUGGAGAACACCGGUGGCGAAGGCGGCAUCCUGGACCGGGCAU